rnacentral:rRNA from 1 species
GUAGGGAAUCUUCCGCAAUGGACGAAAGUCUGACGGAGCAACGCCGCGUGAACGAUGAAGGUCUUCGGAUCGUAAAGUUCUGUUGUUAGGGAAGAACAAGUACCGUGCGAAUAGAGCGGUACCUUGACGGUACCUAACGAGGAAGCCCCGGCUAACUACGUGCCAGCAGCCGCGGUAAUACGUAGGGGGCAAGCGUUGUCCGGAAUUAUUGGGCGUAAAGCGCGCGCAGGCGGUUUCUUAAGUCUGAUGUGAAAGCCCACGGCUCAACCGUGGAGGGUCAUUGGAAACUGGGGAACUUGAGGACAGAAGAGGAGAGUGGAAUUCCACGUGUAGCGGUGAAAUGCGUAGAUAUGUGGAGGAACACCAGUGGCGAAGGCGACUCUCUGGUCUGUUUCUGACGCUGAGGUGCGAAAGCGUGGGUAGCAAACAGGAUUAGAUACCCUGGUAGUCC